rnacentral:rRNA from 1 species
GAUGAACGCUGGCGGCGUGCCUAAUACAUGCAAGUCGAGCGAACUGACGAGGAGCUUGCUCCUUUGACGUUAGCGGCGGACGGGUGAGUAACACGUGGGUAACCUACCUAUAAGACUGGAAUAACUCCGGGAAACCGGGGCUAAUGCCGGAUAACAUAUCGAACCGCAUGGUUCGAUAGUGAAAGACGGUCUUGCUGUCACUUAUAGAUGGACCCGCGCCGUAUUAGCUAGUUGGUGAGGUAACGGCUCACCAAGGCGACGAUACGUAGCCGACCUGAGAGGGUGAUCGGCCACACUGGAACUGAGACACGGUCCAG